CCUUUGCUCAACAAAUCGCCAUUCGAAGCUUACAAACGGAGAUGCUGCUUGCCAGCGCCUCGUGAGAUCACGGCUUUGGGAGAAAGUCCCCGGACGUCUCCUUUUCGGAGCAUGCGGAAACGCGCCGCCAUAGAAGCACUGCGGCUGACCUCCGCGCCUUGGCCCAGCUGAGGCAUCUGCCCUGCCUGCUGCUAAAUCCGUCUUUGCGAGACAUUUGCCAACCCUGUUUCUGCGCCUCUGGCCCCCAUGGAUGAAGAUAUGAGUCCGAGCUGGAUAGCUGUGGGAGCAGGGCCGCGUCGAUGUCGACCAAGGGUGGAUGGUAGGCGGACGUUUUGGUGUCUCGGCUGCGGUAUCGGGUGCAGAGGAUUUGUUGUCGAGGUCGAUAGUUAUGCGAUUGCCCGGCGCAAGCUUGGUUACUCGAUGGGGCCCAUUCUUGAUGCAAAG
rnacentral:RNase_MRP_RNA from 2 species